CCGGACUGCUCGGGGUUAGGCUGGGCAUCGGUCAGCGAGUGAUUCAGACUUUCAAGUUCUUUAUCUGGUUGUUACCAAGAGACACCUCUGUCAAGUAUCUUCUUUUUCCAUUAGCCCAGAAAUGAGCAUCCUCUUAGACCUAUAUGCAUAUGAGAUGCAUAUGUUCCUUCCUGAGCUUUUAAGAUAAACAGUGAGAACUUAACAGGCCUGCUAAUCAAAGCUUACAGAAGGAAAAUAUCUUGUAAUUCAGACUUAGAAAUACCCCACAUGGCAAAAAAGGAAUGGACUGUCACACAGUAGGAUUUGUAGAAAAUUAACCAAAGUACAUAUGAGUUAACCAAAUAAUAAUUUAAAAAUUUAAAAUGCAAAGAAGGAAAAUUUCAACUGAAAAAAAAAUAAAUCAGAAACUGAAAUGUGCUACUGAACUGGAUACCUUUAAUUGGCACAUAGGUGCCAAAACAAAAAAACAAAACAAAACAAAACAAACAAACAACAAAAACAAACAAACAAACAAACAAAAAACAAACAAAAAACAAAAAAACAGUGCAAUGAAAAUCUGCAAAUAUUGUAAUGAUCUUGAACUAGCUUAGCUUAUAGGGAUGAUUUCUGCCAUCAUUAACAUUUCAUAGAGAAAAUUUCUGCAAUGCCAGUCCAUUCUGAAAUUAAGGUAGGAAGGUGGUAUACACAUAGAAAUAAAAAGACAAAAAGUGUAUUCUUGCUCAUACAACAAUAUGUGCAUGUUAUAUAAAUUUGUGAGGGCAUAAGCAGAUUGAUUAGUUUAUACUGCCAGUAAAAAAAACCAUGAACCUGUAUCAACUAUCACAAAUUUGGCUGUGCUCUUGUUGCAAGUACUUCUCUCUCUCUCAUUUUAUUUACUUAUUUACUUAUUUUCCCCUGUGAAUUUUCCCUUUGGAACAAAAUUAAAAUUUGUUUUCCUUUUUCUUCAAGAAAUUACAAGACACCAUGGCCUUCUGUUAGUAAGACACUGGUUAUAACACCAAAUGCCAUCUUGUCACAUGUUUUAAUAAUGCUGUCACUCAGCUGUCUUGCUCCAUAGAAAAGAUAAAUGACGGAGUAAAAAAGCUCUCAUAAAAUCUUAACUUGACAACACAAGAAAUUAUUUUAAUACAGAAAAAUAACAUUAUGACUGAAUUGGCUGUUGUUCUGGUAAGACCAACAUCAUAGUACCAGUCUUAAAAAGAAAGUUGUGGGGAAAAAAAAAAAAAAAAGUUUAGCAUUUCCUUAUGACAGAGAAUUCUGAAACCCUUGUUUCUUAUAGUUGAACUGAACAGAAAAGAUAAAGAGAAAGGAUGCAAACAGGACUAUCCACAAUAUGUGUUGGUAUGCAAAGAAUAAUCACAUAUGUCAUGGAAACAUAAUGAGUCAACAGUUCCUCUCAUGAAAAGAUUUCUAAAAUUGUAUGGAAAAAGAGCAUACACAUCCCCAAAAUUAAAUCUGUUAUAUUCCCCCAUUAUUUUCUAGAACAGUCGCAAAUCAAUGAGUAAAGACAGUCUCACUGUUAGCAUCUUUCCUUUGAGCUCUUCAACACAAAAGAAAGUCUGUGGCAUAGUCUUCACUUGUUUUCUGAAUAUAUAUUUAAGUUUCAGAUCUUCAGUAAACUAGUUGGGUUGCUUUUCCUUCUGCUGUUAACUGUGAGCUUGAAUUUCUAAGAAAGGCAGAAGAAAAUUUCUCUAUCCAUUGGACAGGAAAGAUUAGCUUUUAUUUUGUUUGGUACUGAAGACUAAAGCUGACCUGUGUGGAUAUUUCAUAGUUUUUCCACAGCUGAAAGAUUCCUGUUAGAAAUUUCCACGUGAUCACACAAACAUCCUGAAACUCCUCAAAGCUGUGAAAGAUAUUGAAUUGAGAGGUAAUGGAGGUACUAACCUUAUAUAAACCUGCAGUGAUUUUUUUUUCCCAUAUGCUUCUAUAGAACAUGAAGAUGUUUCUUUCCAUCUUCAGAAGCAUUAGCCCUAAAAGUUUUUAAAUAGCUAGAUAAAAGUCCUAGUAAAGAAUCAUCUAAGAAAAUGUCGGAACCCUUCAGUAAUACACAAGUACUCCCGUAUUGUCUAGCAGUGUUCAAAACACUAGAUUUAGCUAUUUUCUUCUCUGUAAAACUGAAAACAAAAAAACUUCUUAGAACUAUCAAGACAAAAAGUAUACCGUAGCCUAAAUAUGACUUAAGUUACCUCUUCUGUGUACUGAUGUGCUUUUCAAAAGUAAAUUGUCUUAAUUAUUUUUUGUUAUAGCUUUUUGUUAUAAUAGUUUUUGUUAUAGAAAACCAAAAUUUUAUUCUGAAUUCAGUAGGUGCUAAAUGACAAUUUCCCAGAUAAGUAAAUAAUACAUAUAUAUAUGUUACUAGCAUUUGUAAUAAUUCUCAGACUGAGAAUUAUUUAUGAUAUAUUUCUAAACAUCAUUAGAGAUCUUCACGUACAUAAACAUAAAAAAAAAGAUGAAGUUAGAUCAUCUGAAGUAAAAGGUCCCAGUGUCUUAGCUUAAAAAGUUUUCACUGAGCAAAAUUUUGCCAGUACCUGUAAGUUAUGUUUUUAAUAUAGUUCUAACCUUAAGACCCAUUGCACAUUAUAUCAUCUUUCAACAUCUUGCUGUUUUAAAUGAUAUGAAUUUGACCAUAAAUACACAGGCAAUCAGAUAUGAAUCCAAGACCACAGGAAAAAAAUGCAGAAACAUGAGCUUUACAGUUUUUUUUCAAUAAAGCACAAAAAAGCUGUAUGGGCUGCUGCAGGGAAAGUUAACAUCCCAGCCAGACUCAGUACACCCCUUUGAAGAGGAACAUUGCUAGAAUAUAUAAAAUUAACACCCAAAAGAUAAUAACAAAUCCUGACGACCUCUCUUUCCCCAAGUUGAUUUCUCCAAAUCAGCCAUUUUAUUAGUUAAUUUUAUCUAAAAGGCAAUGGGUUUCUCUACCAAACAGAUUAUAUAUAUAUAUACACCAAUAGAAAAUAUGAGUCAGACAAGGACAAGAUGUAUAACUUCAGCUGGCCAGGUUAGCACUAUCAUAGGAGUAGCUGAGCACAUGAGAGAUUGGCUUUCAGCCUCACUGGUUCAGCUGAUAGCCCCCAAAACAAAAACUUUAAUUUUGGAGAAAAUUUGAAGUGCAUUUAAGCAAUAAGCUAUUUACUUUUUUUUUGUCUAAAGUACUUUUACUACCCAUUUAAAAAAAAAAAAACCAUGAAUCAUUAAUGUAAACAAACGUCUUCUGUUGCAGCAAUUAUUCUAAGUUCUGUUAUAUAUGCACCUGAAAAACAAAAGAAGAGGCAAACCUACUCUACUUCAGCCACUUCUCCUUAGAGUCACAAAAUCCCCCAAACAAAAUAAUGCUAAUGCACUAAUGCAAAAAAAAAUCUGAAACAGACUCCUGUGUACAUCCUUAUUCUUGCAAAAAAGAAUUCUAUUUUUUUUAGGGAUGCAUAGAAGAUGACAUUCCCAGGAUUAUUAACAAUUCUAAACCAUUAUUGUUGCUAAUGCAACCCCACUAAGUUCCAUUUCUUCCCCAAAGAUAUCAGGUGUGCUUAAAUUAUGAAGGAAUUUGAGACAGAACAUCAAAAACAAAGUGGUGUUCAAUGAUCCUACAGCAUUAUUUAUACUUAGCAGAUGUCUUCCUGGGUUCUCUGAUAAACAUUGGCCGCUCCAGAUAUUCAUUUGUUCACACUGCUCUAUGGAUUAUGUUUUAUAAAUUAUGACAGGCCACCAACUGAAAAUCAGUCAUCCAGGAAGGACAUAUCCUCUUCUCACUACAGCAUUCAGAUUACUUUGGAAGCUUCACUACAGUCUCAGUAUAAUCUCACCUAAGAAAGAAAACUGGUUUUGCAUUUUCAAUGUCUCUGUCUUGACAAUAUUUAAAAUUUAUACUUGAUUUGCUAAUUAAAAUAAGUUAGUAAGGCCUCUGGAUGAUCACAUGAUAUCAGCCAUCAAAAACUAAUAUCAUAUGCCUGUGUUUCAUUGUCAUUAUUACUGCUAUUACUUUAAGACAACAAGGAAGAACAUGUACUGAUCUAUAUGUAACUGGUAUGUGAACACCUGGACAGAGACAGAAGGAUACCAUUCCAGUUAUGAGUUUAAUUCUUCUUCAGUGCAACCAAUAUGGAAAAGAAGAGGGAGAAAAACAAACAAACAAACAAAAAAGUAGAUGAUGCAAUUUAGAGUUGAACUGGCUGUAGUGGGUUUACGUAGCAAGGUUUUGGUAGCAGGGGGCCAUAGGGGUGGUUUCUGUGAGAAAGAUCUAGAAGCUGCCCCAUGUUUGGGAAGGGCCCCAUUGUUUUCCAGAGCUGAGCCAAUA